CCGGAGAAUGUUAUCACGGGAGACACACGGCGGGUGCUAACGUCCGUCGUGAAGAGGGAAACAACCCAGACCGCCAGCUAAGGUCCCAAAGUCAUGGUUAAGUGGGAAACGAUGUGGGAAGGCCCAGACAGCCAGGAUGUUGGCUUAGAAGCAGCCAUCAUUUAAAGAAAGCGUAAUAGCUCACUGGUCGAGUCGGCCUGCGCGGAAGAUGUAACGGGGCUAAACCAUGCACCGAAGCUGCGGCAGCGACACUGUGUGUUGUUGGGUAGGGGAGCGUUCUGUAAGCCUGYGAAGGUGGCCUGUGAGGSWUGCUGGAGGUAUCAGAAGUGCGAAUGCUGACAUAAGUAACGAUAAAGCGGGUGAAAAGCCCGCUCGCCGGAAGACCAAGGGUUCCUGUCCAACGUUAAUCGGGGCAGGGUGAGUCGACCCCUAAGGCGAGGCCGAAAGGCGUAGUCGAUGGGAAACGGGUUAAUAUUCCCGUACUUGGUGUUACUGCGAAGGGGGGACGG
rnacentral:rRNA from 1 species